rnacentral:rRNA from 1 species
UACGUAGGGGGCAAGCGUUGUCCGGAAUUAUUGGGCGUAAAGGGCGCGUAGGCGGCCUGGCAAGUGGAUGGUGAAAUCCCUCGGCUUAACCGAGGAACUGCCAUCCAGACUGCUUGGCUUGAGACCGGGAGAGGUGAGUGGAAUUCCCAGUGUAGCGGUGAGAUGCGUAGAUAUUGGGAGGAACACCAGUGGCGAAGGCGGCUCACUGGACCGGUACUGACGCUGAGGCGCGAAAGCUAGGGGAGCGAACAGG